GGCUGGUCUAAAUGCAGUUGUGGUUACAAUCAAUUGAUCACAACCAGUUACAGAAUUAUUUGUUCCGUCUCUACUCCCACAGCAUCACUUGACUGGCCUUAU
ensembl:Y_RNA Y_RNA Y RNA